CUAGUGACUGAGGGAGGGGGUGACUAGUGACAGAGUGAAGGAGGUGGUGACUGUCACUAGUCACCCCCUCCCCUCCCUCACUCUGUCACUAGUCACCCCCUCCCUCUCUCUGUCACUAGUCACCCCCUCCCUCACUCUGUCACUAGU